GGAUGGAUUAAAUCAUAAAGUUUGUAAGAUUAUGCUGAACCUCAGUUAGUACCUGUAUAGAUGAGGUUUUAAGUAUAAGAGAGACAAGAGUCCCUAGUACAUGUACAUGGUGAUACCCCUUAGAACAAAGUGUGGUGCUUAUAAGUGUAGUAAGAUGGAGAUAGAGGUCUGAUCUUAAAUUUUCUCCUAGUUGUUAGCUUUAGAGGAGAGUCGGGGUGAAUUUACUCUUAUUCUAGCAACUCCCUCC
rnacentral:lncRNA from 1 species